CCUACGGGUUUCAGCAGUGGGGAAUAUUGGACAAUGGGCGAAAGCCUGAUCCAGCCAUGCCGCGUGUGUGAAGAAGGCCUUCGGGUUGUAAAGCACUUUCAGUGGGGAAGAAAGCCUUGGGGCUAAUACCCUCGAGGAAGGACAUCACCCACAGAAGAAGCACCGGCUAACUCCGUGCCAGCAGCCGCGGUAAUACGGAGGGUGCGAGCGUUAAUCGGAAUUACUGGGCGUAAAGCGCGCGUAGGCGGUCUGAUAAGCCGGUUGUGAAAGCCCCGGGCUCAACCUGGGAACGGCAUCCGGAACUGUCAGGCUAGGGUGCAGGAGAGGAAGGUAGAAUUCCCGGUGUAGCGGUGAAAUGCGUAGAGAUCGGGAGGAAUACCAGUGGCGAAGGCGGCCUUCUGGACUGACACUGACGCUGAGGUGCGAAAGCGUGGGUAGCAAACAGGAUUAGAUACCCUUGUAGUC
rnacentral:rRNA from 1 species